UCCGGUUGAUCCUGCCGGACCCGACCGCUAUCGGGGUAGGGCUAAGCCAUGCGAGUCGCGCGCCCGGGGGCGCCCGGGAGCGGCGCACGGCUCAGUAACACGUGCCCAACCUACCCUCGGGAGGGGGACACCCCCGGGAAACUGGGGCCAAUCCCCCAUAGGGGAGGGGCGCUGGAAGGCCCCCUCCCCCAAAGGGAUGGCGGCCGAUCCGCCGCCAUCCGCCCGAGGAUGGGGGCACGGCCCAUCAGGUAGUUGGCGGGUUAAAGGCCCGCCAAGCCGAAGACGGGUAGGGGCGGUGAGAGCCGCGAGCCCCGAGAUCGGCACUGAGACAAGGGCCGAGGCCCUACGGGGUGCAGCAGGCGCGAAUACUCCGCAAUGCGGGCAACCGCGACGGGGCUACCCCGAGUGCCGGGCGAAAAGCCCGGCUUUUGCCCGGUCUAAAAAGCCGGGAGAAUAAGCGGGGGGCAAGUCUGGUGUCAGCCGCCGCGGUAAUACCUGCUCCGCGAGUGGACGGGGUGUUUACUGGGCUUAAAGCGCCCGUACCCGGCCCGGCAAGUCGCUCCUGAAAUCCCCGGGCUCAACCCGGGGGCGGGGGG
rnacentral:rRNA from 1 species